UCCGGGGUAGCUCAGUUGGCAGAGCAACGGACUGUUAAUCCGUGGGUCGUGGGUUCGAGCCCCACCCCCGGAGCCA
rnacentral:tRNA from 1 species